ACAAAGGGCAGUGAUCCGAGUGCCGAGCGCGGCUGCGAGCUCGCGCAGCACCUUCGCGAGCGCGCGGCGGAGCCGCCCGAGGGCAUACCUUCGAUCGGUGCUGGGCGCGAGCUGGUCCACACCACCAUGCCCGAGGAGGACAGUCGCGCCCUGAAGCUCCGCGACACCGUCCAGAACCCGAGCUAUGUCACGGAUGCGUCCCGCUGCCGCCUGGAGCUGGC
rnacentral:misc_RNA from 1 species